AUGCCUACGAGCUUUUCACAUAUUGUGCUUUGCUUAGUUAUUUUACCGUUGCUAUUGUUACAAUUACUACAAAACUACUACUGUUACUUUUGCCACUGUUACCGUUACUUCCAUACUACUUUGCUACUAAAUAUUUUGCUGCAGAUACUAAGUUAUCCAGGUGUGAUUGAAUUGAAAACUCAACUGCAAAUACUUGAGAAUAUUCUUUGGCUCCCCUUGUGCCGAAUCAAUAAAUUUGGGAUGAAUACUCUACCCUCGAAAAUUGUUGCGAUCCCCUAUACUUGUGGGUUAUUAAGACUAUUUUCUGGUGCCGUUGCCGGAGAGCAUAGCUCUACUCUUUGA
rnacentral:rRNA from 1 species